rnacentral:rRNA from 1 species
AGGACGAACGCUGGCGGCGUGCUUAACACAUGCAAGUCGAGCGGUAAGGCCUCCUUCGGGGGGUACACGAGCGGCGAACGGGUGAGUAACACGUGAGCAACCUGCCCCUAGUUCUGGGAUAACUCCGGGGAAACCGGUGCUAAUACCGGAUACGAGACCAAGUGGCAUCACAAGGGUACUGGUAAAGUUUUUCGACUAGGGAUGGGCUCGCGGCCUAUCAGCUUGUUGGUGAGGUAACGGCCCACCAAGGCGACGACGGGU